GCACCGGUUCCUCUACGAUCACCGAAGUUAAGCAAAUGCGAACCUGGUCAGUACCUGGAUGGAUGACCGCUUGGGAAUGCCAGGUGUUGUAA